GCGACCCGGAUAAUUAUUUCAUGGAAAAUACGUCAAUAUUACGUGUGGCAUUGGGGGUAAUGUGUAAUUAGUUUGGGGUUGGGGCCAAUGUGUAAGAGAGGGAAAAUAUGUAUAUAUGUAUAGGGGUGGGGUGGAAAUCAAAAAAAAAACAAAAAAAAUCAAAACAUCUCUCCCCCUCUCUCUCUCACGUCUCCCUCUCUCUCUUUACCCCUCUUCUCCAAACUUCAUCUCUCACAAUUCCUCCACAAAACCCACAUCAAAAACCUUCAAUCCUUGCUCCUCCAAGCUUUAAUUUCGUGGGUCUAGCUCGGUGGGAGUUAGUUCGCCUCGGUUUCGGAGUAUUUCAAGAUCUAGGGCUCGAUUGGCUCGGGGGAAGUUCAUACGACCUUGAGGUACAAAUCAAGGAAACUAGUUCUUGUUGCAUGGAGUGUAUGCCUACAAAGAAAAGGCAUCUUUUGUGAACUUAUUGGACGGUUAUUUAUACAUCUACACUUAUAGUCUUUUGGAAAUUGGGUAGAUGGCUCUGUAACCGUAUUUUGACGUUUACUUUUGACAUUGGAAGAAUGUAAUUAACUUUGUUAUUUCCACCCGUUAACCUUGAUACUUGAACUUUCUCCAACUUAUGCUAAACUCAAAGGAUCUUUUUGGUAAUAUUAUUAUUAUUAUUUUUACUUGUUAAUUAGUAUCUUUUUUUUUAAGAUAUGUUUAAAAAGCAGGGCG